CAGUCCACUCUAAAUUUCAUCAAAAAUAAUGAAGUGCGCCAUGAACAGUUAGUGAAACAUUGAAACAUGUGUUAAACAUUGUGUAAGGAUUGUUGAAAGUUAACAAGUAAAAUAACUAAGCUUCCAAUAGUACUUCGUUAAAGAGAUGAUGGAACCAAAUCUACUUUGGAUUUUAUACGACAUUGAUGUAUUUUAGAAACAAGGAUAUCAAGAUGAACAGAGUGUCAAAAGAACAGCUUGAGGUUUUGUUGGAGUUUUUAUAGUUCUUACAAGAACAUCAUUCUUUAGCCAAAGACAUAGACUCGGCACCACAUUCAAGAAAACUUUCGAUAGUCAGUGGAAACAUCUACCGAUAAAGCUGAACUCUAUUGGUUUAGGUUCUUCCAAAACUGAAGAGCAUUUGAAACGUACUGGGCUGAUAUUUAAUAAGAGCAAAACCAGACUUGCUAAACAUUGAUGGAGUCUUCUGACUGACUGACUAGCAGCGGUCUGAGUACACCGAAAAGAUAUUUACGAGAUGGACAAAAAAAUCUGUCAUUGGAGAACAGGCUCUGUUUGGGAUGUAGAAAACAGAGUUCCAAUAUUGUAAACUUUACCAUAAAUAUUAUGUAUAUUAAAGAAAAAAAA